rnacentral:rRNA from 1 species
AUGCAUGUUCUUGGCUUGGCUUGGGUUCGUCCGCUGAUGGAGAUAGAUUUGAUUUUACCUGUACUUGCAGGGAAGAUAGACUCGUACAUGGUCGUGCAGUAUGGGAGCCAGGAGCACAACGGCAGCACGGCCCGAGCGAGGAUUGCUUUGUCCAACCUGCACAAGAAUGCCAAGAAGGCCUUCUCGGAGACGAUUAAGGACAUGUACCUGCACUACAAUGAGAGAUCUGGGCUGGUUCUUUGUGGCUUCCAAAAUUGA